rnacentral:rRNA from 1 species
UACCUUGUUACGACUUCACCCCAGUCGCUGACCCUACCGUGGUUAGCUGCCUCCUUGCGGUUAGCGCACUACCUUCGGGUAAAACCAACUCCCAUGGUGUGACGGGCGGUGUGUACAAGGCCCGGGAACGUAUUCACCGCAGCAUGCUGAUCUGCGAUUACUAGCGAUUCCAACUUCAUGCACUCGAGUUGCAGAGUGCAAUCCGAACUGAGAUGGCUUUUGGAGAUUAGCUCGACCUCGCGGUCUCGCUGCCCACUGUCACCACCAUUGUAGCACGUGUGUAGCCCAGCCCGUAAGGGCCAUGAGGACUUGACGUCAUCCCCACCUUCCUCUCGGCUUAUCACCGGCAGUCCCCUUAGAGUGUCCAACUGAAUGCUGGCAACUAAGGGCGAGGGUUGCGCUCGUUGCGGGACUUAACCCAACAUCUCACGACACGGGCUGACGACAGCCAUGCAGCACCUGUCACCGAUCCAGCCUAACUGAAGGACAAUGUCUCCACUGUCCGCGAUCGGGAUGUCAAGAGCUGGUAAGGUUCUGCGCGUUGCUUCCAAUUAAACCACAUGCUCCACCGGUUGUGCGGGCCCCCGUCAAUUC